rnacentral:lncRNA from 1 species
ACCCUUUCUGAUAACUGCUUGCCAAGACCUCUUGAUCUUUUUCACCAUGGGAUGAUCGGCUUCAGCACCGUGUAAGAUGAAAGGCUCUAAAGCUUCAGUUUUUGGAGGGCUAUUCAUAGGGUACCCAUGCUGCCUCAGAGAUAACAUGGGGUUAUAGUUGAUGCAACCCUUGGUUCCUAUCAAAGGCACGUUGGGGAAGUCUCCAAUGUUGACAAU